rnacentral:snoRNA from 15 species
UGAUUCCAAGGAAGGGGUGAUGUUCCAGUUCAGUCCCAAGAAAAGGAUCCUGAGCCUUAGGGCUCUGAAGGAGCCACUUGGUCCUGACCUUCCUUUAUACAAA